UCAAUCACACAAAACUUAAUGGAACUCGUGAGAUAAGUUAGUAUGCUAAUAAAUAAAUGAUUCACUUUGUAUUGUCAAGAAAUAUCCAUAAUUGUUAGCACAUAAUUCCUAUUUCAUUUUAUCAUUCCAUAAUUUAUUCCACUCAAUAUAAUCUAUGUAAACACUAAAUCAAGAAAACAAUGCAUGCAAAACAGAAUCUAUUAAAAACAGAAUAAUUUGUAAAGAUCUA
rnacentral:lncRNA from 1 species